AUCAACAAUCAGUGACAAGCCUCCACUAUCUAUUGCAAAAAUGAAGAACCGUGUUGAUUGCUUAUCCUGAAUAUGAUUUUGGGCGAAUAGGAUCUGACUAGCUUCUAAAUCUGCUGAACUGUACUGAUCAUAGUGUGAAACUAAUUUUUCUUUUGCUCUUCUAAAGGCCAUUUGCAAUGAUUCAUAAUUUGCCAGAGGAGAUGGCUCAGUUGGAAAUUAUGUUCAGUUUCUUUAUUCUUAUGCUAAUUCUAUGUCCAUUUGUAAGACGGCUGGUGAUGUUCAGAAUAAUAAGCGAAGUGCAGAACGAAAUUAAUGGGGCCGAGAUUAGCGGUUUCCUUUCCUUUCCCCUCGGAAGGCGAACAGGAAGGCGACUUUGUCCCCUCGAUCUGCCGCCGGCCAGGCCGGUGGUUCCUUCCCUCUCCGUCUGCCGCUCCGGCGACGGGAGAGGGCGGGAACCCCGGUCCCGUGCUUCCGGUAUGUAGAUAGUAGGGUAGUGGUUCCCGGAGUUGCCGUCAUGGUGGGGGUGUCGGUGUCGGUGUGGAAUAAAGAUGUUGGUGGUUCCCCCUCAUCCCGGCGAGGCCUUUGCCGGAACCGGCAAACUGUCGGCUUUAGGUGCUCUCGGAUCCUUCGAUCUGGUGAGCUUUGGUGCUCCGAGCAAAGCGCUGGAUCUGCCGGCGCAGGUUUGUGGUCUCUAGAUCUUUGCAGGUUCUUCUCCUCAACGACGAAUUGGUAACGGUGACUACAGUAGACUGUUUAAGCAACUAAGCAACUCAAGUCCCAUGGCGACUACAAAUCAUGAGUGGCCGCUGCACUAUUCUUUAUUUGACGGUCUCUAUGUGGAGGGUUUCAGAACUUCCUCUAGGUGCACACCUGAUUACUAGGGAUACACGCUUGCAACUAGCAAAAAUUGCAAGAUGCAGUGUCGCGUUUUCUCUUUCCAAUGCAUGGUAUCUGUUCAGGUGGAUGACCGCUAAUGUAUGUGGGAUAUGGAUGUCUUCAUAUUUGUGGUGGGUACAAGUAAUGUUAAAUUGAAAUUUGAGGUCCUCUUUUCAUUACAACCAGUAGCGAAAUUUAGGUUUUGGUGAGAAGAAAGGUGAACCUAAUGGCUAUAGCACUAUUGAGAAGAAUGUUUCAGUCGCUGGAGAAAUUGAGGAACAAAUGAAGUUGAUAGAAGAACGAGUAAUAAAGAUCUAUUAAACAUAUAUAUAGAUUGGUUGGCAAUAAAGAUCGACAUAAAAUAGCAUUACUUGUUUUGGGCAUAGCUAAACGUACAAGCUUAAUACUACUGAAAUUCUAAAAUCUAUUUGUAUGUGUUCGAUCAGAAGUAAUGUUUGGUUUUGUUCAUAGGUUGUCCCCUGUUUUGUCAUUCCACCUAACUGAAAGAGAUUGUAAUUGGGUCAACAAAUGGCAUACAUUUUUUUUUCGGUAGACAAACCUAUUUUGUUGAAAAUCUGAACUUUGUAGUUCAGUAGCUAACUAGCUAUUGUGUAGGUGUAUUUCAAUCUUAUGGCUUUUUUUGCUUGAGAUUCGUAUAUACUGUAUGAUGUUGAGUUUGUUCACAUUAACCUAUGUUCCUAUUUUGCUGAGCUAUCCACUGAAAUUUGCUUAAGUUCUUCUUAAUUCCCCGUGUUUACUACCACUGUACCACUAGAUUUGAUAUGUUUUUAUUUAGUUCCAUUUAAUAUUGGUUCAGCUAUAUUAUGGGUGGCUUUGGCAUUUUUCCCUUACAAUCGUGUGUCUGACGAAUUAUGGGGUGUGCCUCUUUCACACUAAUGUUUGUUGCAAACUGAUCAUGAAAUUCAAUUACUUCAGGUCUUCACUUACAACAUGAUUUACCUCCAAUUCUUUGCUCCUUUUGUUUCAUCACAAAGCAAUGAAGUUUAGUAGCAUAACUUCUAGUAGUAUUAAGAAAAUCCAUAUUGAAGGGACUUAAGAUACUUCUAUGUUUCAUUUUGAUGACACUCUCAGGUGUAAGACUAGUUAGACUUAGACAAUGUCGUAAGUACUCCGUCCGUCCCAAAAUUCUUGUCUUAGAUUUGUCUUGAUACAGAUGUAUCUAAUACUAAAAUGUGACUUCAUACAUGCGCAUUUAGACAAAUGUAAGACAAGAAUUUUGGAACAGAGGGAGUAGUUGCUAGACACAGACUAGUUCAAUACGGCGACUCCCACCAUUGAAGCUGGCACAGUUUGAUAAAAGACAUGGUUAGUGAGCAUUUUUAACAAUAGUUACAGAAGUUGGCUUUUGUCUUGUUUCUCACUAUACUUUUGAUUCACUUGCAGCUAGCAUGUUACGGGUUCAUGUGAUUGUGAUGAAUUUGGUACAUCCAAAGUCCCACUGCGAUAUCUUUGAUUUUGACAUUACGUUAUUUCUAGUUCAGGGCAGUGAAGCCUAUUAGUCCUGAAGUGUUAUAUGUGCUUCUGUGAUGGUGGCCACUACCUGUUUGUUGGUAUACUUUCAAGAAUUGAAAAUAUUCUGUCUUUUCAGUAUCUGUUCAAGUGGAUGACGGUUAAUGUACGAGGGAUAGAGAGUCAUGUCUUCAUAUUUAUGGUCGGUAAGAGUAAUGUGCAAUUGAAAUUGAAACCUUCAUUUACUAAUAACCAGUAGCAAAGUUCAGGUUUUGUGAGAAGAAAAGUGAACCAAAGGCUACAGUACUAUUAGUAGGAUACUGUGUUGCUUCCAGCCCAUGGAUAAGAAUGUUUCAGUCGCUGCAGAGAUAGCUAAACAGAUGAAGUUGGCGUAAAAUCUAUGGUCACCUACUGCUUGAAGAUCAAGUUCGACAGUAGUCAGUUUGCAAAUUCGGUAGCAUUCAAUUUUGUAAUAGUGAUUUCUGAAAAAUAAUAAUCAUGCCGCUGGUUACUUAGUGCUCAGUGGCAUUCAGUUACAUCCAAACGAAUUUUAUUUGUAAUCUUAAGAUGGCUUUUGUUACUACUA